CCAACCUGGACCCCAUCCAAUAGGCUCGUGGUCCCUGAUGGUCCUGGACCACUGAUUUGAGGCCUUUCUGCUUCCUUUGAUUCAGUCUUUGGCAGAGACCCAGGAGCAGGAGUCCUUGAUGGCACCUGGCCCUUUCUAGUCACCGACAAGGGAAACCUGAGAAACCAUUCUCAGAAAUGGAACUAAAUUGACACAGCAUUUGUCUCCUCCAGAGGAUACAGCACCAAGGCGCCAUCUUGGAAGUAGACUGGAGCUCUUAGCAGACCAGAACCUGUGGGCAUAUUAUGAAUAUUCAGUGAAACAACGUGUGUGCUCACCAGGCAGGAAGAGCUCAGCAAAUGGUGGCUGGUCUGGAAAUUAUUGUCAUCACUAUAAUCCUCAUCGACAUCCUCAGCCUUAUUGUCAUCAUCAUCAACCUCAUCAGUGUCAUCAUCAGCCUCAUCAACGUCAUCAUCAGCCUCAUCACUGUCAUCAUCAGCCCUUUGUCAUCAUCAUCAUCCACCUUGCUGUUCUCUUCCUUGUUGACAUCAUUAUCCUCAUCCUCCUCAUCACCAUCAACAGCAUUAUUUUUAUUUUUUAUUCUUCCACCUGUAAGAGUUUCUUUUCCUCCCUCUUAUUGUUUUCCUCUUGGGAUGACUAGUGGUGAAGGAAGUGUCAGAGGCAAUGACCUCACAGCUGUCGUUGCCAUGGGUGACACCUCCCAGAAAGAGCUUAUUGGAACUUUCAGUCCAGGGGAGUUUCUGCUGUUCCAGGAUGGAGGAAAUGUUCAAGAACUGUGGAGCAUCUGAGAUUUUUUUCCUACUUUUGAUGUCCACCUAGUCAAAGUUCAGGUAGGCUUAUUGUCUAUUAUAAAAGCUCCAGGUUCCCAAAGCUUGGC
rnacentral:lncRNA from 1 species